rnacentral:rRNA from 1 species
GAUGAACGCUGGCGGCGUGCCUAAUACAUGCCAGUAGAACGCUGAAGCUUGGUGCUUGCACCGAGCGGAUGAGUUGCGAACGGGUGAGUAACGCGUAGGUAACCUGCCUGGUAGCGGGGGAUAACUAUUGGAAACGAUAGCUAAUACCGCAUGACAACAGUUAUUGCAUGAUAACUGUUUAAAAGGGGCAAUUGCUCCACUACCAGAUGGACCUGCGUUGUAUUAGCUAGUUGGUGAGGUAACGGCUCACCAAGGCGACGAUACAUAGCCGACCUGAGAGGGUGAUCGGCCACACUGGGACUGAGACACGGCCCAGAAUCCUACGGGAGGCAGCAGUAGGGAAUCUUCGGCAAUGGACGGAAGUCUGACCGAGCAACGCCGCGGGAGUGAAGAAGGGUUUCGGAUCGUAAAGCUCUGUUGUAAGAGAAGAACGAGUGUGAGAGUGGAAAGUUCACACUGUGACGGUAUCUUACCAGAAAGGGACGGCUAACUACGUG